CCUAGCCUGAGAACCUCCGUAUGCUGAGGGAAGCGCCCCUAGAAAAGGCAAAAAGACAAAAAAAGCCCAAAAGAAAGGACAUGGCAAGUUGCGUAAACCAGAGCUAAUACUGACCGCAUAAAACAUAAUUAAAAUAUCUUGUGAAGUUAGAAAAACAGGGUAGAACAAAACUACAGGGCAAUAACGUAUCAGUUGUAAGUGAAUAAUAGUUGAAGUUUCUUCUUUUGGGGGGAGGGGGCUCAAAACUGAUUUACUUUAUAGUGUAUGUAACUUCUAAAAUAGAAGAGGAGAAAGGCUAAAUGAGAAAAUAAUCAGACUAAAAGAAGGUGAGAAAAGGAAACAAUGAAACAGAACAGGGACCAACCUUCCCCCCCCUCCCCCGGAAAAACUGGCAAAAAUAAACUCAGUUUAUAAAUCCAAUAGUUAUAACAAAUGUAAAUGGACCUAAUUAUUCAGUUCUGAAGCGAAAGAUGAUCCGAUUGGGUUUAGAAAAUGUAGUUAUAUGCUUUUUACAGAGGGGCACUGAAAUACUUAAAUCAUUUAGAUGGAACACAAACAGGUGGAAAAAGAUACGCCCGAUAAACAUUAACUGAAAGAAAAUGGGUGUAGUUUUGUUAGCAUCAGCUACAAUAGACUAGCAAUUUAGGCAAUGUUUCGGGUGCUGAUUGUGUGUGCUUCCCUUUUCUUACAGGGAAAGGUCAGUAGAAAGCUUCACAUCCUCAGCACGUGGUAUCACAUGGCGUAUAUAUGCUCUUUCUUUGUCUGUGAUUAUUGGAUUGAGAUCAACCCAGUUAUGAUGAAAACCCUGCCCCUUCUAUCGAAAAGAAUCCACUUCCAGUCUAAGGGGAGACCAGGAGGAUUUUGGCAACACGUACACUAAGCAGAAUCUAAUUUCAAUGAUUGACACCUGGAAAUAUGAGCUGAGCGUGAUGACCAAUCAGCUUAAUCUAGGACCCUCACAGGUGAAUUCUGUGCCUCUAGAGCCUUUAAAAGACUUGGUCAGUUAGCUUCCUAGGAUUCUAGUCUGAUAAGCCGUGUUUGGAUAAGUGAAUCUUUGCACGUUGCUUAGUUCAGAUGUUCUCAAGUGCCUGCAAGUAUCUGAGCAGAGAUCAAGCGGAUCCAUCAAAAAAGUAUAUAAAUAUCAGCUCCUAAAAGGGGCAGCCCACUGCGUCUCGGAUUGCUUGUCACGGCAGACACAUGAAAGACAGAAUAAACACACAGCACGCAACGGGAGCGGAACCCCACCAGGCCAAAUGGAGGAAAACACAAAAACAAAACCAAACCAAAAACUGAAGCCAAAGUUCCAUCAAGUCAGGCUCUCCAGCAGGUCACAGAGAGGAGAAGGAUCCUCUUUCUCCCACGACGAGAUCAGAACACCUCCAGUGACCUCCAGAUUUCAGAGGCAUGCUUCCUCUGGAGAGCUCAAGGCCACGUGCAAAGACUUUCAUCUUCCUAGUUGUGAACAUCCUUCCAACCUUAUAAUAUCCCAAACAUAGAGUGUCAAGGGCACGAGGAAAGUCAGGAGAGUGAAGAACACACUCAAGGAUUGCCUCAAUCUUCUCUCUGGAAGCUCCUUAGCAGAACUCCAGAGUGGACUUCAAUUUAAGGAGGUCUUUUGGUUUCCCUUCUAUGUGCAAAUAAAAAGGAUUUCAUCCAGAAGCAAAAAAACAAAAACAAAACCAAACAGCAAAUAAAACUAAAUUUGGGGAACCUGCUCUAAAUUAUAGGUUAAUUAGGGGCAGAUACUUAAUAAAUAUGGUGCCUGCAUGUCAACACCCACAAUGAAUCAUGUCUCUGAAAUUUAUUGAAUGUUUACCAUGUUUACUAGUCUUUUGUGGUGCCCUCCACAAUGAGGUAAAUCCUAUUAUUAGUCCCAUUUUUCAGCUGAGGAAACGAAAGCUCAGAAAGUUGCAGAAACUCACUUGGUAAAUGAUGGAGCUACUAUUUGAACUUCAGAGCCUGUACCCUUUAUCAUUAGGAUAUACAGCCUCCCUUAUAUCUAUCCAUGUAAGCUGAAUAAUUAAACAAUUAGGCCAUCCAUGUGCAAGACAAGAUCAAGGCAAGUGGAGAAAAUGUUGUGAGCAUUUGCCAAAGUGUCUUCUCUUCAAAUAAAUAACAGCAAAAGAAACAUUUCAGAAAUGCACUAGUGGAACUGGUAGCAAAAGACCAGAGCUCAACUCCAAAGCCCCCGUCACUCCCUGUGUUUUGAUCUGUGGAGCCAGCCUCUACUGUCACCCCCAUUGUCCCACCUCCUGGUGUCACAGCUGUGUAAUACCCACCCCUUGGGCAUGGGCUGAACCUAGUGACUCAUGUAGUGGGUAGAAUAUAACAGAAGUGAUGCAAUAACACUUCCCAGAAGGUUACAAAAGACAGCGGGAUCCCACGUGGGCACCUUCUCUCACACUUGCUCACUCUGAGGAAGGCCAGCUGCCAUGUCGUGAGCUGCUCUACAGAGGAGACCACUAGACAAAGAAUUGGUGUCCGUAGUCACCAGCCUUCAACCUGCCAGAAGCCACAUGAGUGAGCACCCCCUUCCCUAUACCUCCUGGUCCACUUUCUGCUCAAAAGGGGCAUGAGAACUUCCUGUUUCUGCCAACGAAUCAGUUGAAAAGAAGAGAUGAGAUUAUGAAGGUAGGCCUGUGUCAACUGAUACCUCCCAAAAGAGUGCCCACUCUACAAGACAACAACCAAAAAACAACAGAAACUUCAAUAUGUACCGUAUCAUUUAAGUCAUCUGCCAACACUUUCCCAACUGCUAUCUCACAUUAUAGUUGGCCCAUCUGGGUCUCAGGGAGGUUAAGGCACUCGAUAACUAUUUCAGUGACUUUCCCAGAACACACCAGGGGAAGAAUUAGAACUGAAAGCCAGGGUCUUCAGAUUCCAAAUCCCAUGCUCUAAAGCAUGUGUUUGGAGAUACCCACUCUCCUCUCCAGAACCAUCUAAGACAUCCAGGCCGGGUCAAGUGACAUCCACCUCUUGCUUCUAUGAGCCAGUAAUGUGCUGUGGUGGCCUGGUCACAGGGCAGCUUGGCCAGGCUGAGCUCCGUUUCCCAGAAAUCCCUUCCCUUUAUGUUUCUGGGAGGGCUGCGUAAGACAUCCACUGGGGAGAUGCAGAGUAGAAGGAGGCGGCAACCUUCUCAAGCUCACACAUGUUGGGGCUGAUCUGCUGAUGCACCUGGGCCUGCAGGUACCCCACCUACAACCCAAUUCUUAAGGCUCUAUGACUGCAUGCAUCUGUGUCAGAUAUAUGGAUGAUGAGAAAGCCGAGAGACAAGGGUGGGUUUUCUGUCUGGAUGGGAUUUAAACAGAAAGAGGGGGCAGGUCUCAAAGCUAUCAGAUUGAAGGAGUUUUGGUCUAGGUCUGCCUGGAGAGGAAGCUUCAGGAACAGUAGAAAAAUGGAGGCUCUGUCUUGGCCGGGAGCCCCUGGGUCUCUGCCACCUUGUACCUUAAGACUAGGCACCCUCCCUCUUUCUGUCGGCUGUGACAAAGGUAUGCAGAAGGACAGAGACAGGGUCCUGGAUCGGCUUUGCUCCUGGCUUUGCUUCUAGGCUAUUCCUUACACUUUACGUUGACCCCAUGGGGGUAUAGGGAGAUGGGAGGAAAUCCUGUGUGCCCUUGUGAUGGACCUGAUCAACCACUCAGAGACAGGGCCCUUACUGGGCACCUGCCCUGCCCAGGCCAAUUCUCAGCUCUGUGGGGACCAGCAGGUUUAUAGGACCCCUUGGGGUCCCUGCCCCCAGAGUGUUUCCAAUCCAGCUGGCAGGAAUAGCGUGCCUGUUUAGAAUGAUGGAACACUCAAGUGCUAAACCAGUGGGGUAAAGAGCCAAAUACUUGGGGAAGAGGCAGAUCAAAGUGGGUUCUUGUGAUUUGCCAAAGCAAUAGCCAAGAAAUAGAAGAAGCAAAUGGGAGUCAGAAAUCUAACACCAGCUCUGCUCACACACCUGGGCGUAAAUGGCUUUGUUUUAGCACCAGGCUUCAAAAUCUGGCUCUGCCAUUUAAGACUGAUAUGAUAGUAGGCAUUAAACCAUUUAAUCCUUCCUUCUUUCUUUUGUGUGAAAUGGGCUUUAUAGCAGCACCUACCCCUAAGAUUGUGAGGAUUAAAAGGGUUUAUAUGAGAACACCCUUAGCACACUGCCUGGCACUGAGUAUGUAUACGUGUAUUAUUUAUUAUUUUUAAAAUUGUUAUUAUUACUAUGUCUCCCUCUAGUUCCCUAUCUAAACAGGGAACAGGAUUUAUUAACUUGCUUUGAGUGAACCAUGAUCUGGAUCCAAUCUUCCUUUAAAUAACCUACAAAUUGCCAUAUCUCACAAAUGUUUUGUUUGUGCUGUGGGCUUUGGGUUUCAAUUAAAAACUGUCCAAGGACACAAAUCCUGUUCUAAUAACAUUGAAGAUUAAAGGGAGUUUGAAGCUAAAAUAUAGUUGGUUUGUAUAAAUGAAAAUUGCCUGAGAGAGUACGGAUGCAUUUUUUCCAAAUCUAAGUGCAUUGUCAUUGAAAGGUUAUUUUUCUUGGUUUGGAAGAGAAUAAAAAAAUCAUUGUCAUACCAUAGCAACCAGACUGGUAAGUGAUACAGAACAGGCUGAACUGAUAAAAAUAUCUGUGAAAAUGUCCAGAUUGAUGAAAUAUUCUAAAAAUAAGUUUAACAAAAUAGUGAACACAAUGAAAUGGGUCUAAUUUUCCAUACAUGUCAUUUCAUGUUUUAUUUUUUGAAAGUUAAGAUACUCACUUUGAAAAUGACUGUAAUAAUUGCCAUCUGGUGAAAAAGAAAGUCAAAAAGCCCUAGUUUUGGACAAUAGAAAGAUAUGUUUAUGGAAAAACUUGGCCGUUCUAAGGAAAAACAAAUACAUAUAUAGCCUGAAAUUUAGAGUUUAUGCUUCUCCAUGCUAAGUCUUCAAAAUCAUAGUUUUUAAAAUACCCACAUGCUUUACAGUAAACUCAUUUUCCCCACUAUUAUUUAUUUCUCUUUUCAGAAUUUCAAAGCAGAGGAACAUUGUUGCUUUGUUAGCUUUAAGGAAAAACAGACGUUUCAAUGAUAAAUUCUAACAUUAGAUCAGUGAAACCCUACCCAACCCUAACAAGGAAAUUAAGGGUUCUGAAACAGCAGUGUUUUAAGACAGGAACUGCCAGUAUUUGUUAGGCUAGACUUCGAGGGGAAUGUGCUUCUGGUCUGCCGUGGAUCAAGGGCCCUUUGUGUUUCUAGAGCAGAUCAACAACACUGAGAAAUGGACUAUAGAGCUGAGCUACUCUGGAAGAUAUUUGGGCAUUUUUAUACUUUUCUGUGAGCAGGAAGGGCAAAGUAGUGAGCUGUUUUCUCUGUGGCCUCGUGGACCGUCCUUGCAAGGCUAUGCUGGGUAACACUUUACGAGUAACUUCUUCAUUCAAUAUACUCAGCACAUAUUAAUUGAAUUGGACAGAUGGGCACGUGCCAAGCACGGUGUUUGGUCCUGGAGACAUGAGGAUGAAUGGUAGAGACGUAGCUCUUGCCCCUAGAGUUGGAGUUUGGGGAAAGAAAUUUGGAUAUGUAAGCAAAUACAUUUUUCCAAAGGACUUAGAAUUACCUAAGAUAAUCUUAGGGGUCCAAAAAUGAGAAUGAUGAUUCUCCCUGGAGGAGUCAAGGAAGGCUUAAUAAAGAGGUAAUCAUUUUGCUGAGAUUUAAAGGGAUUUAAAUAGGCCGGGCGUGAGAGACCAGUAGGGCUUGGUUCAUAUGUGGUCUAGGGUGGAAGGAUCAUUCCAGACCAAAGAAAUACUAUUAAGAAGGACAUGAAAGCAUGAAAUAGUUAUGGCCUAAGUGGGUACAAUGGUGGGUUUUGAGGAAGUGAGAGACAGGACCAUGUGGCAGAGGUAAGUGGGAAUCUCACUGUGUAGGGAUUUGGUGACGUGAAAAAUUGCUCACCUGAGUCCCAAUUCAAGGGGUUGAAGCCAAGGAGUCGUGUGUACACACACUUGGACUGGUAAAUGUGGAGACUGAACCCAAGUGGAAAGCCGUAGAGAAAGUAUUACGGAGGCUACACUGGUAGUUCAGUUGGCAGUUGAAGAGAAUAUCAAAGAAGGCACUAAGAACAGAGAGACUGGGGGUUGGGAGUGAGGGGCUUUGACGCUGGUAGGCUUAAAGGCCACACCUUUGUUGCGAUGGAGGCAAAGGAGGGGAGUGGGUGCGGACACAAACUAUCUGGACUAUAGGAUCCUUGCCUUGUCUUCUGUGCCAUUUGAGACUCCUUUUCCAAGACAAUGACUGAAAGACAGUUCUUUUCAAUAAACAUUUAAUCAGUGGACGAUGAGAGAACAAAUGAAUGCAACCCUGCCUGUGGGACACCUAGUAAACCACUGGCCAUUCAGGCUAGACACACACAUUUGGGAACGUGAGCAAGUAGGUGAGAAACAGACCAAGAAUAAAACUCCAGGAAAAUACCAGAAAAUAAAGUUGAACAAAGAAAAUAGACAGGAGAUACCACUUGUAUGUAGAACAAUGGCACAAAUGAACCUACCUACAGAACCUAAACAGACUCAC